UCCACCAACUGGCCAGCUGUUCAGACGUGU
rnacentral:piRNA from 1 species